GGUAGAUGCAGCGAAAAUUAUGAAAUGAUAAUAGAAAAGUGGUUAAGUUAAUUGUGAAAGAUGUCAACGCAGACGUAAAUGUAGUAUGUUUUGUUACAUGAUCUACGGCUAUUUCAUUACCAAAGCUCCUGAUAACAGAUCAAAGCAGAUGGAUCGGGCAUACAGAGUCGCCGUUUAAUUUAAAAUAUCUGCGUGAUCGGUAAGUUUUAAAUAGUACUAGUUUUGUUCACCAUUCUAAUGCUCGAUUUAUCUUUCAUUCCUCAAGCAAACGCAUCAAACAGCAAGUGUUUUUCCUUCCAACAGCACGCACCAUCGGUGGUGCAGCAGCUAACGUUUUGUUCGCCUAGCGCGCACCAUCAAGAAUUGAUAUUUUGCCAAACAGUACUGUGAAUAAAAAACUGCACACUUACUGUAGGAA